UACGUAGGGGGCAAGCGUUGUCCGGAAUCAUUGGGCGUAAAGCGCGUGUAGGCGGCCAUGCAAGUCGGAUGUGAAAGCCCUCGGCUCAACCGGGGAAGUGCACUCGAAACUGCAAGGCUAGAGUCUCGGAGAGGAUCGUGGAAUUCUCGGUGUAGAGGUGAAAUUCGUAGAUAUCGAGAGGAACACCGGUGGCGAAGGCGGCGAUCUGGACGAUGACUGACGCUGAGACGCGAAAGCGUGGGGAGCAAACAGG
rnacentral:rRNA from 1 species